AGCUUUGUGCAGUGGCAGAAUCAUAGCCAAUGAGGUUUAUCUGAGGCGCGAUUAUUGCUAAUAGAAAAAAAGAACCAAAACAUAAUACCCAUUAACAAUGUUGCUUAUGUUGCUUCCCAGUGAGGAGUUGUUGAUUGAUUUUUCUGCUCAUUUACCCUGCUGAACCUCUGCUCUAAAAGAUG
ensembl:snRNA U4 U4 spliceosomal RNA